UACGUAGGGUGCAAGCGUUGUCCGGAAUUAUUGGGCGUAAAGAGCUCGUAGGUGGCCUGUCGCGUCGGCUGUGAAAACGCGGGGCUCAACUCCGAGCUUGCAGUCGAUACGGGCAGGCUAGAGUUCGGCAGGGGAGACUGGAAUUCCUGGUGUAGCGGUGAAAUGCGCAGAUAUCAGGAGGAACACCGGUGGCGAAGGCGGGUCUCUGGGCCGAUACUGACACUGAGGAGCGAAAGCGUGGGGAGCGAACAGG
rnacentral:rRNA from 1 species